CCGGGUCUAGGCAGUGGCGUGUCUAGGCAAGAGAGUGUUCAGAGCACUCUUGGCUGUGAGAAGAUGGAGACUCUAUCAGUGCGGCUUCUAGUGUGUGAGGUGGCUGAAGAGGUAGCUGAAGCUUCCACAAGCAUUCCAUGAAGAUGGCGAGUUCAAAGGUGUUGCAAUGGAGUAAUGGUACAGAUCAUGAAGCUAUCCAUCCAAGCUUGUUCCUGUGAGAGUCUCAAGCUUGAGGGGGAGUGUUGAAGCUUACAUGAUCUGAGAGUACUUGGUGGUUAUUCAAGAAGAGGAGCAGAUCAGUUAUGAAGGAUGAAGAAGCAAUCACCAAUGCGGCCUCUAGAGUGAGGUGAUUGGUACUACAGUCUGAAGCAUCCGGUCAUGAAGGUUUCAGUAACAUGG
rnacentral:lncRNA from 1 species